CCGGCGCCAGACCGGGGUGCGCGGGCCGCGCCAGCAGGAGCAGCAGCAGGGGCAGCGCGGGUGCGGGCCGCACAGCCAGAACACGGGCACGCGGGCGGGCGGCUUGCGGAACCCCGCGGGAGGAACAUCACAGAUAUGCUUGGAAGCAUCAUCCUAGAGAAAAUCACCUGGAGCAUGAAUCUUUAUUAUUUUCCUGCAGUAAUUUUGCUAACAGGGUCAAAGACCAAGAAGCCAUCAUCAACUAGGAGCAAAGUGCAGCCUUUUGGCAUUUCAGGGAGAUUUCCCAGUUCCCAGUAGCUAGACGGUCACAUCCAGGGACUGCC